rnacentral:lncRNA from 1 species
GAGAGAGAAAAAAAAUUCAAAAACCGCUACCAUCACCCCAUGCAUGCAUGCGUGCUAAAACACCGUGCAUGGCAAUCAAUGGGAAUUGGAGGCUGUAGCAAGCAGCAACCUUUCUGAACCCGAUCAAUAGCGCUCCCUCUUCUACUUUGGUCAUAUUAACCCUUUCCCACACAUGAUGAAGCAUGGGAGGAAGAGGGCUGCGAAAGAAUGCAGCAAAACCCCAUGCAUCUAAUACAGAAAGGGCUUAAAAAUCAUACCUCGAUCUCAAUCCGGUCCUUCUCCCUUUCUCAGAUGAUAUUGUAUGGGGUACAGAUGGCUGCAGCACAUCUAUAGUAACCAUCUUAUUUAGACUAAUGAGCCUAAAGCAAAGAGAACAAUACAAUAUUUUGUAAAAAAAAAAAAAGAUAAAUCUCAAACCAACCUGAAGACCGUCUCUUCCACCAAGCCUUGCUGCGCAAUACCGAGAGGAGUGUGUUUAUAGCCCCAUUCUUCUACAUUGAUCGACCUCUAUUGAAUCGUAUCUCAUGCUUCUUAGAUCGAACUGUCUCCUCCACCCAUCAUAAGUGCCGUCAGCUCGUGCCAUUGUCCAAAUCUU